AGAGUUUGAUCCUGGCUCAGGAUGAACGCUAGCGACAGGCUUAACACAUGCAAGUCGAGGGGCAGCAUGAUUUGUAGCAAUACAGAUUGAUGGCGACCGGCGCACGGGUGAGUAACGCGUAUGCAACUUACCUAUCAGAGGGGGAUAACCCGGCGAAAGUCGGACUAAUACCGCAUGAAGCAGGGAUCCCGCAUGGGAAUAUUUGCUAAAGAUUCAUCGCUGAUAGAUAGGCAUGCGUUCCAUUAGGCAGUUGGCGGGGUAACGGCCCACCAAACCGACGAUGGAUAGGGGUUCUGAGAGGAAGGUCCCCCACAUUGGUACUGAGACACGGACCAAACUCCUACGGGAGGCAGCAGUGAGGAAUAUUGGUCAAUGGACGGAAGUCUGAACCAGCCAUGCCGCGUGCAGGAUGACGGCUCUAUGAGUUGUAAACUGCUUUUGUACGAGGGUAACCCCGGGUACGUGUACCCGGCUGAAAGUAUCGUACGAAUAAGGAUCGGCUAACUCCGUGCCAGCAGCCGCGGUAAUACGGAGGAUCCAAGCGUUAUCCGGAUUUAUUGGGUUUAAAGGGUGCGUAGGCGGUUAGAUAAGUUAGAGGUGAAAUUCCGGUGCUUAACACCGGCGCUGCCUCUAAUACUGUUUGACUAGAGAGUAGUUGCGGUAGGCGGAAUGUAUGGUGUAGCGGUGAAAUGCUUAGAGAUCAUACAGAACACCGAUUGCGAAGGCAGCUUACCAAGCUAUAUCUGACGUUGAGGCACGAAAGCGUGGGGAGCAAACAGGAUUAGAUACCCUGGUAGUCCACGCAGUAAACGAUGAUAACUCGUUGUCGGCGAUACAAUGUCGGUGACUAAGCGAAAGCGAUAAGUUAUCCACCUGGGGAGUACGUUCGCAAGAAUGAAACUCAAAGGAAUUGACGGGGGCCCGCACAAGCGGAGGAACAUGUG
rnacentral:rRNA from 1 species